rnacentral:rRNA from 1 species
AAUAGAUACCCGGGUAGUCCACGCCGUAAACGAUGAGUGCUAAGUGUUAGAGGGUUUCCGCCCUUUAGUGCUGAAGUUAACGCAUUAAGCACUCCGCCUGGGGAGUACGGCCGCAAGGCUGAAACUCAAAGGAAUUGACGGGGGCCCGCACAAGCGGUGGAGCAUGUGGUUUAAUUCGAAGCAACGCGAAGAACCUUACCAGGUCUUGACAUCCUCUGAAAACCCUAGAGAUAGGGCUUCUCCUUCGGGAGCAGAGUGACAGGUGGUGCAUGGUUGUCGUCAGCUCGUGUCGUGAGAUGUUGGGUUAAGUCCCGCAACGAGCGCAACCCUUGAUCUUAGUUGCCAUCAUUAAGUUGGGCACUCUAAGGUGACUGCCGGUGACAAACCGGCGGAAGGUGGGGAUGACGUCAAAUCAUCAUGCCCCUUAUGACCUGGGCUACACACGUGCUACAAUGGACGGUACAAAGAGCUGCAAGACCGCGAGGUGGAGCUAAUCUCAUAAAACCGUUCUCAGUUCGGAUUGUAGGCUGCAACUCG